AUAGAACGCUGGCGGCAGGCCUAACACAUGCAAGUCGAGCGGAUGAAGGGAGCUUGCUUCUGGAUUCAGCGGCGGACGGGUGAGUAAUGCCUAGGAAUCUGCCUGGUAGUGGGGGACAACGUUUCGAAAGGAACGCUAAUACAGCAUACGUCCUACGGGAGAAAGCAGGGGACCUUCGGGCCUUGCGCUAUCAGAUGAGCCUAGGUCGGAUUAGCUAGUUGGUGAGGUAAUGGCUCACCAAGGCGACGAUCCGUAACUGGUCUGAGAGGAUGAUCAGUCACACUGGAACUGAGACACGGUCCAGACUCCUACGGGAGGCAGCAGUGGGGAAUAUUGGACAAUGGGCGAAAGCCUGAUCCAGCCAUGCCGCGUGUGUGAAGAAGGUCUUCGGAUUGUAAAGCACUUUAAGUUGGGAGGAAGGGUUGUAGAUUAAUACUCCGCAAUUUUGACGUUACCGACAGAAUAAGCACCGGCUAACUCUGUGCCAGCAGCCGCCGUAAAAC
rnacentral:rRNA from 1 species